AUCACUAAAAGUGAGCCCUAAGGGAACUGACUCUCAGGCCAUAAUGAGGUGUCAAAGUAGUCUCAUGGCCUGUUACAAAUGUAUCACUGAUGGAGGUAGCUUCCAACUGGCGAAGAUUGGUCUGUGUAAGGACACAGAAUUCAGCAGUGAAGCCAUCAGGACCUGGGCUUUUCUUUGUUGAAGCUGAUUAUCUCAAUUGUCACAGUCAUUUUGACUCAAAUCGGAAGAAAAAUGGCUGAGGAUUUCAAGACUCUGACCAAAGAAAUAUAAGGGUGCUUAGAAGAGAAGUUCAAGUUCAGUCAAAUUGUCAGAGAUGGCAGUUUCAGGCAGCAGUUUCACCAAAAAUUA